rnacentral:rRNA from 1 species
AUGGGAGAGGAAUCGCAGGUCGGUGGUCCACUCUCGCCAGAGCGCGUCGUCGUCGGGCGCGACGGCCGGGCCGCCCACGUUGAGGCGGUAGGCCGUCUGCAGCGGCAGCACGGCGGGGAUGGGCUCCGGCCGGCCCGUCGACGAGUCCGCCGCGUCGGCGACGAGGCCGUCGGGCACGGAGACGAGCUCGACGGCGUUGACGAAGGCGAUGCCCCCGUCGGCGAGCGGCACGAACGAGACCACCAGCGUGUCGCGCGCGACGUCCAGGAGGAACUCCAGGCGCGCCGGCUGGGGCGACGUCGACGUCGACGCGUUGCCGGGCUCGGGCGCCGGGAUGCCGUCCUCGAGCAGCACGGCGUCCUGCGUGGACACCUUGAACGCCCUGGCCGCCGCGGCGAGGUCGUAGCUCCGGUACACGAAGGGGAAGAAGUGGAGGCGGAGGAAGUGCCGGCCGCGGCGCCUGAUGGCGAAGGAGUAGGAGGAGGGCGCGGAGAACACCCUGGCGUUCUGGUACAGCGCGGCGUCGCGGAAGCCGGACACCAGGUCCGGCGGGGCCUUCACCGCGGCGCUGCGAGGGGACGUCAGGGUGACCGCGCCGGAGGCGCCGUCGUCGGCGAGGAAGAGCCUCCGGCCCACCGGCGUGUCCAGCGAGGACCCACAGCUGACGAGGUAGUUGUCCUCAGGCUUGUACGCCGCAGCGCCGCAGACGAGCAACACCGAGACGACCCAGAGCACGCCGCGUGCUCGCGCUGGCCGGAGCCUCGCCGUCGCGGCCAUGGCAAACUCCGAGGAACACCUACACACGAUCAAAAGAUUAUGCGCAGAACAGGCAGAGAAGAAAACAUGUCCGUCGGAAGUACUCCUAUAUCGAACCACAGAAAAGCUACAAGGAGCCAAAUAAGAGCGACAGAGGGACGAACGACGCUACCUCCAGGCUCCUGCUACCGGCCAGCUGAUUCAGCAGCAGUCCAGAUCCUCCAUGGAUGA